GAUGAAGAACGCAGCGAAAUGCGAUACGUAAUGUGAAUUGCAGAAUUCAGUGAAUCAUCGAGUCUUUGAACGCACAUUGCGCCCCCUGGUAUUUCGGGGGGCAUGCCUGUCCGAGCGUCAUUGCUGCCCUCAAGCACGGCUUGUGUGUUGGGCCUCCGCCCCCCGGCUCCCGGGGGGCGGGCCCGAAAGGCAGCGGCGGCACCGCGUCCGGUCCUCGAGCGUAUGGGGCUUCGUCACCCGCUCCGUAGGCCCGGCCGGCGCCCGCCGGCGACCCCCCUCAAUCUUUCCAGGUUGACCUCGGAUCAGGUAGGGAUACCCGCUGAACUUAAGCAUAUCAAUAAGCGGAGGA
rnacentral:misc_RNA from 1 species